rnacentral:rRNA from 1 species
UACGUAGGGUGCAAGCGUUGUCCGGAAUUAUUGGGCGUAAAGAGCUCGUAGGCGGUUUGUCGCGUCUGCUGUGAAAACUCGGGGCUUAACCCUGAGCCUGCAGUGGGUACGGGCAGACUAGAGUGUGGUAGAGGAGAUCGGAAUUCCUGGUGUAGCGGUGGAAUGCGCAGAUAUCAGGAGGAACACCGGUGGCGAAGGCGGAUCUCUGGGCCAUAACUGACGCUGAGGAGCGAAAGCAUGGGGAGCGAACAGG